CAGGGAUAUAAUAGACUAACGUAACCGGGAUUGGCAACGGGAUCACGUGAGCGCAUGAUUUGUGUAUAAAAACUUUUUGCAGUCUCUGUUAUGAUUUUCAAGAUGGCAACUGCCAAUGUCUGGAGUAUGAAGUUGCUCUUUUCUCUUUUAAAAAUGUAUUUAGCUUUAUGAAAAAUCUACUGCAAAGUUAUAAUGGCGGCUUCAAGGUUCUGAUAGGUUAUUAGUGUUCUUCAGGAAAUAUUCAAGAAAAACCAGUUUGCCAUGGUACGACUUUUGCGUACCUCUCAGGAGAAUAGACUAGAUUCUAUUGCUAUGAAACUACAAUAAAGAGACCCUUUACAUGUUUUUACAUUGUUUAAAGUUGUUUUUGAAUUUUUCCUGUUGCUGGUUUUUUAGUUAUAACAAUUUACAUUCAGCCAUUUUGCUAA